rnacentral:rRNA from 1 species
GACGAACGCUGGCGGCGUGCUUAACACAUGCAAGUCGAACGGAAAGGCCCUGCUUUUGUGGGGUGCUCGAGUGGCGAACGGGUGAGUAACACGCGAGUAACCUGCCCUUGACUUUGGGAUAACUUCAGGAAACUGGGGCUAAUACCGGAUAGGAGCUCCUGCUGCAUGGUGGGGGUUGGAAAGUUUCGGCGGUUGGGGAUGGACUCGCGGCUUAUCAGCUUGUUGGUGGGGUAGUGGCUUACCAAGGCUUUGACGGGUAGCCGGCCUGAGAGGGCGACCGGCCACAUUGGGACUGAGAUACGGCCCAGACUCCUACGGGAGGCAGCAGUGGGGAAUAUUGCACAAUGGGCGGAAGCCUGAUGCAGCAACGCCGCGUGCGGGAUGACGGCCUUCGGGUUGUAAACCGCUUUCGCCUGUGACGAAGCGUGAGUGACGGUAAUGGGUAAAGAAGCACCGGCUAACUACGUGCCAGCAGCCGCGGUGAUACGUAGGGUGCGAGCGUUGUCCGGAUUUAUUGGGCGUAAAGGGCUCGUAGGUGGUUGAUCGCGUCGGAAGUGUAAUCUUGGGGCUUAACCCUGAGCGUGCUUUCGAUACGGGUUGACUUGAGGAAGGUAGGGGAGAAUGGAAUUCCUGGUGGAGCGGUGGAAUGCGCAGAUAUCAGGAGGAACACCAGUGGCGAAGGCGGUUCUCUGGGCCUUUCCUGACGCUGAGGAGCGAAAGCGUGGGGAGCGAACAGGCUUAGAUACCCUGGUAGUCCACGCUGUAAACGGUGGGUACUAGGUGUGGGGUCCAUUCCACGGGUUCCGUGCCGUAGCUAACGCUUUAAGUACCCCGCCUGGGGAGUACGGCCGCAAGGCUAAAACUCAAAGGAAUUGACGGGGCCCCGCACAAGCGGCGGAGCAUGCGGAUUAAUUCGAUGCAACGCGUAGAACCUUACCUGGGUUUGACAUGGAUCGGGAGCGCUCAGAGAUGGGUGUGCCUCUUUUGGGGUCGGUUCACAGGUGGUGCAUGGCUGUCGUCAGCUCGUGUCGUGAGAUGUUGGGUUAAGUCCCGCAACGAGCGCAACCCUUGUUCACUGUUGCCAGCACGUUAUGGUGGGGACUCAGUGGAGACCGCCGGGGUCAACUCGGAGGAAGGUGGGGAUGACGUCAAGUCAUCAUGCCCCUUAUGUCCAGGGCUUCACGCAUGCUACAAUGGCUGGUACAGAGAGUGGCGAGCCUGUGAGGGUGAGCGAAUCUCGGAAAGCCGGUCUCAGUUCGGAUUGGGGUCUGCAACUCGACCUCAUGAAGUCGGAGUCGCUAGUAAUCGCAGAUCAGCAACGCUGCGGUGAAUACGUUCCCGGG